UACGUAGGGGGCAAGCGUUAUCCGGAUUCACUGGGUGUAAAGGGAGCGUAGACGGCCAUGCAAGCCUGGAGUGAAAGCCCGGGGCCCAACCCCGGGACUGCUCUGGGAACUGUGCGGCUGGAGUGCGGGAGGGGCAGGCGGAAUUCCUGGUGUAGCGGUGAAAUGCGUAGAUAUCAGGAGGAACACCGGCGGCGAAGGCGGCCUGCUGGACCGCGACUGACGUUGAGGCUCGAAAGCGUGGGGAGCAAA
rnacentral:rRNA from 1 species